CAGUCCCCGCGGUAAUACGUAGGGUGCAAGCGUUAAUCGGAAUUACUGGGCGUAAAGCGUGCGCAGGCGGUUAUAUAAGACAGAUGUGAAAUCCCCGGGCUCAACCUGGGAACUGCAUUUGUGACUGUAUAGCUAGAGUACGGCAGAGGGGGAUGGAAUUCCGCGUGUAGCAGUGAAAUGCGUAGAUAUGCGGAGGAACACCGAUGGCGAAGGCAAUCCCCUGGGCCUGUACUGACGCUCAUGCACGAAAGCGUGGGGAGCAAACAGGAUUAGAUACCCCCGUAGUCCCUGUCUCUUAUAC
rnacentral:rRNA from 1 species